UGAGAACAGUCCAACAGUCUGCUCUGGAACCCUUCGUAGCUAUCCUCGAACAACACCUCUAGAUUCCGGAAUGCGUCGCAUAGCAUCACCACCUCUUUGUCGCCGACUUCUUUCAUCUUCCUUACCUUACUGUUGUCGUCGCUGUUUUUGAUGUGCAUGCUCUCUUGUAACUCCUCCAGUUUCUUCUUACGAGCUUCGUCUUUCUCUUUGUACUCAGAUUUUGUCACCUUCAGCUUCUGGUUCGUCAGACGGAUCUGGACUUCCAGACUUAUCACUGUGUCCUGUAGCCUCUUCACCUCGCUCUCGGAGGCUUCU
rnacentral:lncRNA from 1 species